rnacentral:rRNA from 1 species
AGAGUUUGAUCCUGGCUCAGAAUCAACGCUGGCGGCGUGCCUCAGACAUGCAAGUCGAACGAUUAAAGCUCCCUUCGGGGAGUGUAUAAAGUGGCGCACGGGUGAGUAACACGUAAGUAAUCUACCUUCGAGUGGGGAAUAACGUUCGGAAACGGACGCUAAUACCGCAUAAUGCAGCGGCAUCACAAGAUGACAGUUGUUAAAGGAGCAAUUCGCUUGAAGAGGAGCUUGCGGCAGAUUAGCUAGUUGGUAAGGUAAUGGCUUACCAAGGCUACGAUCUGUAUCCGGUCUAAGAGGACGGUCGGACACACUGACACUGAAUAACGGGUCAGACUCCUACGGGAGGCAGCAGUCGGGAAUUUUGGGCAAUGGGCGAAAGCCUGACCCAGCAACGCCGCGUGAAGGAUGAAGUAUUUCGGUAUGUAAACUUCGAAAGAAUGGGAAGAAUUAAUGACGGUACCAUUUAUAAGCUCCGGCUAACUACGUG